UACGUAGGGGGCGAGCGUUGUCCGGAUUUAUUGGGCGUAAAGAGCGUGUAGGCGGCCAGGUAGGUCGGUUGUGAAAACUGGAGGCUCAACCUUCAGAGGUCGACCGAAACCAUCUGGCUAGAGUCCGGGAGAGGAGAGUGGAAUUCCUGGUGUAGCGGUGAAAUGCGCAGAUAUCAGGAGGAACACCGGUGGCGAAGGCGGGUCUCUGGGCCGAUAUUGACGCUGAGGAGCGAAAGCGUGGGGAGCGAACAGG
rnacentral:rRNA from 1 species